AUCCACUCAAGGAGUUGUGUCUAUAUCAUCUAGAAGGCGUGACAAAUGCGGAUGCUAAGAAAAUAUAUCCAGAAGAGUAUACAACCUGGAGAGAAAAUCCAGCAAAUUUUUUCAUAAAUGGCACAUAUCCUCUAAGAGAUCUCUGGAUAUCUGCAAGAAAUGCUUGGAAGGAAAUCUUAUUGACGGCUGGAGAAAGCUUUCUUGUUGUGACUCACAAAUCUAUAUUGAGAGCAUUGACUUGCACUGCCUUAGGUCUGGCCACGGAGAGGUGAGUUUUGUCAAUGUUGCGAUUUCAAAUUUACAUGAUAUGGAAUGCACUAAGAUGUACUGAUUAUUCUCCUAGUGUUGAAAGAAGUAGAAAGUUUUAGCUUUGUCAGGUAGUGUCAAAGCUUUCUUGUUAUCGUCGUUGACUACAGUAAAUUCUGCAAGCAAAAUAUUAUUUUUGGGUAUUGUUUGGACAGAGCACAAUAACAUUGUAUAAUUCAUGUUUCCAACCUCACCUAGUGGAAUAAAACUUAUUACAUUGUUUGGAUUGAUGAGAAUGGAGAAGGAGGAUCUGAUUCAAAUCAAAAUUAGACCUCUCAUUUUGCUCCAUUCUUCGGAUUUUGUACGGGUAGAAAUUCAAUACAAAGUUAUGUUCUAUCUUUAAAAUUACUUCCGUUAUUAGAUAUUUUGUUCAAUUCUGUAUGUCAAAAAGAGGUGUCGUUUCCACCUCUUUCCUUGGUGAGUUGGUGUAUAGAGAUGGAUCUCAACACCUUUUUUCAUGUUGUUUUAUUGUACUUGGUUAACAGUUUAGGUCCCACUUGUGAUUGAUUAAUUGAAAAGAAUAAAAUCUCAAAUGUAUAUUGGUUAAUAUGGAGCAAUGAACCUUUAUCUCCUGAGAAGGGGAUUUAGUUUUGGGAGAAACCUAACUUCAUCUUUGACCGUGACACCCAAAAAGAACCAAACAGCUGAAAAAAAA